rnacentral:rRNA from 1 species
ACUCCUACGGGAGGCUGCAGUGGGGAAUAUUGGACAAUGGGCGGAAGCCUGAUCCAGCAACGCCGCGUGAGGGAUGACGGCCUUCGGGUUGUAAACCUCUUUCAGCACCGACGAAGCGAGCCUUUGGGUGAGUGACGGUAGGUGUAGAAGAAGGACCGGCCAACUACGUGCCAGCAGCCGCGGUAAUACGUAGGGUCCGAGCGUUGUCCGGAAUUAUUGGGCGUAAAGGGCUCGUAGGCGGUUUGUCGCGUCGGGAGUGAAAAUACCGGGCUUAACUCGGUGCUUGCUUUCGAUACGGGCAGACUGGAGGUAUGCAGGGGAGAACGGAAUUCCUGGUGUAGCGGUGAAAUGCGCAGAUAUCAGGAGGAACACCGGUGGCGAAGGCGGUUCUCUGGGCAUUACCUGACGCUGAGGAGCGAAAGUGUGGGGAGCGAACAGGAUUAGAUACCCUGGUAGUCCACACCGUAAACGUUGGGCGCUAGGUGUGGGAUCCAUUCCACGGGUUCCGUGCCGUAGCUAACGCAUUAAGCGCCCCGCCUGGGGAGUACGGCCGCAAGGCUAAAACUCAAAGGAAUUGACGGGGGCCCGCACAAGCGGCGGAGCAUGCGGAUUAAUUCGAUGCAACGCGAAGAACCUUACCUGGGUUUGACAUACACCGGAAAGCUGCAGAG